rnacentral:lncRNA from 1 species
GCUUCCAUGCGCAGUGACCCACAUGCAAUCCACGGACACUGAACCAAGUGCAUCUUGUGUUCAUAAUCUCCAAUCCACAGUCAGAUCAAACAAAGCUUGGUUGCUUCCAGCUCUGCUUAGCUCUGAGUCCAUUAUAUUCUCUCUACUAAUGCUGUGACAGCCGUCCUUCAUAGUCUUCAACCACACCAUCUCCAGAGAGGUUUCUCUACCAUUGGUUCCCCUCUCUUGGCUGUUCUUCAUGAAGUCAUUAUUCUUUCCAGAAGGCACAUGAGAUGAUCUAUAAAUGCCUUCUAGUGUCCUUAUCCUCUUCCCAGGUCCUUUGCAAAGCACACAGUUUUCCCAACCUCCUUAUCUUGUCCUUUCCUGGUGCAUUCAGCUCUAGCCUCCCCAAAUUUCUGGCCUUCCCAAUUUCUUGCUCAUUCCCUACCCCUGUGCCCACCCCUAUUUCUCAGAAGUCCUUCAAGACUUAACUCAGGGCUCAGGGCUUCCAGAAAGCCUCCCUAGUUCUCUCAAUCUGGAGAAAGCGUUCAUUUCCUGUGCUUCUGAGGCCUACUUUUGCACAGCCCUGCUUGAACUCUGCCCACCUUCCUUUUGUCCUUAGGCAAUGAGCUCCUGGAGGGAAGGCCUUUGUGUUAGUUAGUUAAUUGGCCAGUUCCGUUGCUCUGGGCAGUGAACAGAAUACCAAAGUGUGUGGACUAAAGUGGGUGGGGAAGGUAAGCUGCUCAGGUCCUGACAGCCAGGAAGUCGAAAGAUAGACCCCAGGGACAAAAUAAAAAUCCCAAAGGCAUGCAGCCAAUAAUCUUCCUCUAACCCAUGCCUAUAGUUACCAGUUGCUGUCCAAGUUGUCCAUUCAAAUUGUUAAUCCAUCAAAUGGAUGGAUUAAUCCAUCAAUUAGGUUAUAGCUCUAAUAUUCUAAUCAUUUCAUCUCUAAACAUUCCUGCAUUAACAUAGGAGCUUUGGGUGGACACCUCACGUUCAAACUCAUUUAUCCUAUUAAGCUAUAUAGCUAUAUCCUAUUAAGCUAUUAAGCUAUAUAUUGCUCUCCAGCGCACGGCCUGAUUGACAAUAGACAAUAAAUAAUACAUCUGUUGGAUAAAUGAAUAAACCCCAGUCUUCCCUACAAGUACCAACCACCAAGAAUUCACACUGCACACAUCACUGGCUGCUGGGAGGGACUUGUUUUGGAACUCUCUCUAUUCUAGGAAAUAGAAACUUUCACAUUCCCGGAAACAGCAGGUACUUUCCAGUUUGGGCGAUGAACUUGCCAGAACUGCUGUUUGGAAUUUCUUCUGCCUGGCAGCUGCUGGGAGCAGGUAGGGUGAGAAUGGAGAGCUCUUGUACAGAUCAGCCUUUGUGUCAUCCUGCUGCUACCCAGGAGCUCCGUUCCCACCCACCUCCCAGAUUUUUUAUAGAGAAACUGGCCUGAAAUCAGGCAGUUAAUCAGUGACAGUGAAACUGGAUUUUCAGCCUCUGCUGUUGUAGUGGUGCAGCAACUCCAGUUGCCACCUAGUGAUUUCUUUCUGGGUCCAUGUCUCAUGAAUUCAAAGAAUGAAAUCUAUGGAUAUCAGUGGAAAGUAAAAGUGAAAGGAGAAGGAUUUAUUUGAGGGAAAAAAAGAAGCAGAGCUCUUGCUGGGUGAAAGGGGAUCCGAUAGCAGGUUGCUGUCUAG